rnacentral:rRNA from 1 species
UAAUGUAUCGCUAACGUGCCCUGGAGCCGGGGAUAGCCGGGGGAAACUCCGGGUAAUACCCGAUGACAUAUUCCUUUCGCAUGGAAGGAAUCUCAAAGGUGCAAUCCACUCUGGGAGCGGGCGAUAUCGUAUCAGCUAGUUGGUGAGGUAACGGCUCACCAAGGCGACGACGCGUAGCCGGACUGAGAGGUUGGCCGGCCACAUUGGGACUGAGACACUGCCCAG